rnacentral:rRNA from 1 species
UACGUAGGGUGCGAGCGUUAAUCGGAAUUACUGGGCGUAAAGCGUGCGCAGGCGGUUCGUUGUGUCGGUGGUGAAAGCCCCGGGCUUAACCUGGGAAUGGCCAUGGAAACUGGCGAACUGGAGUGUGGCAGAGGGGGGUGGAAUUCCGCGUGUAGCAGUGAAAUGCGUAGAGAUGUGGAGGAACACCAGUGGCGAAGGCGACUCUUUGGCCUGUAACUGACGCUGAGGCGCGAAAGCGUGGGGAGCAAACAGG